rnacentral:rRNA from 1 species
UAGUCCACGCUGUAAACGAUGUCUACUUGGAGGUUGUUGUCUUGAAUGAUGGCUUCGGAGGCGUAACGCGUUAAGUAGACCGCCUGGGGAGUACGGCCGCAAGGUUAAAACUCAAAUGAAUUGACGGGGGCCCGCACAAGCGGUGGGGCAUGUGGUUUAAUUCGAUGCAACGCGAAGAACCUUACCUACUCUUGACAUCUACAGAAGCCAGCGGAGACGCAGGUGUGCCUUCGGGAACUGUAAGACAGGUGCUGCAUGGCUGUCGUCAGCUCGUGUUGUGAAAUGUUGGGUUAAGUCCCGCAACGAGCGCAACCCUUAUCCUUGUUUGCCAGCACGUAAUGGUGGGAACUCCAGGGAGACUGCCGGUGAUAAACCGGAGGAAGGUGGGGACGACGUCAAGUCAUCAUGGCCCUUACGAGUAGGGCUACACACGUGCUACAAUGGUGCAUACAGAGGGCAGCGAGACCGNGAGGUGGAGCGAUACCACGAAGUAGCAUCGUAGUCGGUA